rnacentral:rRNA from 1 species
GACGAAGGGGGCUAGCGUUGUUCGGAAUUACUGGGCGUAAAGCGAGUGUAGGCGGUUUAUCUAGUCAGGCGUGAAAGCCUUGAGCUCAACUCAAGAAAUGCGCUUGAUACUGGUAGACUCGAGUGCCGGAGAGGAUAGUGGAAUUCCCAGUGUAGUGGUGAAAUACGUAGAGAUUGGGAAGAACACCAGUGGCGAAGGCGGCUAUCUGGACGGUUACUGACGCUAAGACUCGAAAGCGUGGGGAGCAAAACAGG